GAUGAACGCUAGCGGCAGGCUUAACACAUGCAAGUCGAGGGGCAGCAUGACACGGAGAUUCGUCGAAGUGUUGAUGGCGACCGGCGCAAGGGUGCGUAACGCGUGAGCAACUUGCCCGUUUCUGGGGGAAUAACCGGUGGAAACGCCGACUAAUACCCCAUAGUAUAACGAAGAGGCAUCUUUUUGUUAUUAAAGAAUUCGGAAACGGAUAGGCUCGCGUGACAUUAGCUGGUUGGCGGGGUUAACGGCCCACCAAGGCGACGAUCAGUAGCCGGUCUGAGAGGAUGAACGGCCACAUUGGGACUGAGAUACGGCCCAGACUCCUACGGGAGGCAGCAGUGGGGAAUAUUGGGCAAUGGGCGAAAGCCUGACCCAGCAACGCCGCGUGAAGGAAGAAGGCCUUCGGGUUGUAAACUUCUUUUACCAGGGACGAAGGACGUGACGGUACCUGGAGAAAAAGCAACGGCUAACUACGUG
rnacentral:rRNA from 1 species